rnacentral:rRNA from 1 species
CAAUAGCGUAUAUUAAAGUUGUUGCGGUUAAAAAGCUCGUAGUUGGAUUUCUGCUGAGAACGACCGGUCCGCCCUUUGGGUGUGUAUCUGGCUCUUUCUUGGCAUCUUCUUGGUGAACGUUGCUGCACUUGACUGUGUGGAGCGCUACCCAGGACUUUUACUUUGAGGAAAUUAGAGUGUUUCAAGCAGGCAUACGCCUUGAAUACAUUAGCAUGGAAUAAUAAGAUAGGACCUCGGUUCUAUUUUGUUGGUUUCUAGAGCUGAGGUAAUGAUUAAUAGGGAUAGUUGGGGGCAUUCGUAUUUAACUGUCAGAGGUGAAAUUCUUGGAUUUGUGAAAGACUAACAUCUGCGAAAGCAUUUGCCAAGGAUGUUUUCAUUGA